rnacentral:rRNA from 1 species
AUUGAACGCUGGCGGCAGGCUUAACACAUGCAAGUCGAACGAGUGGCGGACGGGUGAGUAAUGUCUGGGAAACUGCCUGAUGGAGGGGGAUAACUACUGGAAACGGUAGCUAAUACCGCAUACCAUCAGAUGUGCCCCGAUGGGAUUGGCUAGUAGGUGGGGUACGGGGUGACCUAGGCGACGAGCCCUAGCUGGUCUGAGAGGAUGACCCGCCACACUGGAACUUAGACACGGUCCAGACGCCGACGGGAGGCAGCGGUGGGGAAGAUUGCACAAUGGGCGCAAGCCUGAUGCAGCCAUGCCGCGUGUGUGAAGAGGGCCUUCGGGUUGUAAAGUACUUUCAGCGAGGAGGCGUUACUCGCAGAAGAAGCACCGGCUAACUCCGUGCCAGCAGCCGCGGUAAUAC